rnacentral:rRNA from 1 species
GAUGAACGCUAGCUACAGGCUUAACACAUGCAAGUCGAGGGGCAGCACUAGGUAGCAAUACUGAGGUGGCGACCGGCGCACGGGUGCGUAACGCGUAUCCAACCUUCCCGAUACUCUUGGAUAGCCUUCCGAAAGGGAGAUUAAUACAAGAUGGUAUUCAAAUUCCGCAUGUUAUUUGAAUUAAAGAUUUAUCGGUAUCGGAUGGGGAUGCGUGACAUUAGAUAGUAGGCGGGGUAACGGCCCACCUAGUCUACGAUGUCUAGGGGUUCCUGAGAGGAAGGUCCCCCACACUGGAACUGAGACACGGUCCAGACUCCUACGGGAGGCAGCAGUGAGGAAUAUUGGUCAAUGGCCGUAAGGCUGAACCAGCCAAGUAGCGUGAAGGAUGAAGGUUCUAUGGAUUGUAAACUUCUUUAUACGGGAAUAACACCAUCUACGUGUAGAUGCCUGCAUGUACCGUAUGAAUAAGCAUCGGCUAACUCCGUGCCAGCA